rnacentral:lncRNA from 1 species
CAUAAUCCAUGUAGUGCUCUAUACUCUCUAGUCUCUAUCAACCAGCUCAAGUUUAAGGGUGUGUUUGGUAUGGAGGAAACAUUUUCUCUAGAAUAGGGAGAGAUUUGUGCAUAAACAAGGAAGAAUCUCUCAGUAUAACAGUGAAUGGGUAUUUUUUUAAGAUUUGCUUCUUUUGUGUAUGACUUUUGUAAGAAACAUUCUGGUAAAAGUUAAAAAAAAUGAUCUUGUGGAAUAGCCACAGUGAAUUCCUUAAUAUUCGAGUAGAAAAAGCCAGAGAGGAUAACAUUGCUAUUUGUACACUUAUCGUGACACGAGUAGUCUCUUAAAUAUUACACCUUUCUACUGAUGUUGCUGAUGCCACUGGAUUUAGCCUUCCGUCUUCCUUUGCAAGGUAGAUCGAGGACUCCCAAGAAAGGAAACACAAGUUACUGGAGUCUGUUCUGGCCUAUACAGUAUGUAUGUACAUAAAAUUUGGAGUAUCUAAAAACCACUGACAAAUGGCUAUACGAAAGAUCAUAUACAAUUAAAUUACAAGCCAUUUGCAAUCAUCCUGCCCCUUUAUGCAGAAUCUUUUCAAAGAAAAUGAAAACGAACAAAACAAACACUCACACAUUUGGCUUCUGAUUUGACAUUUAUUUCAGAGAACUGGCUAGUCGCUGCAGGAAAAAAAAAGACGCAAAAAAUGGAAAAUAAUAUGUUAGAUGUCCCAUAAUUAAGGAACAAGAGAACAUUAUAGCAAGAAUGAGCAUGCAGGUAUAAGAACUUACACAUUAUUGCGGCAAGAAGCAACUUCUUUCUCAAAGUCAUCAUCAUCAUCUUCAUCUGUUGUUACACUAUCGAAAAUGCUAGCUACAAAAGAUGAAAAAUGAAAUGUUACACUUCCCAAAAUCAAGAAUGAGCAUGCAAGUAUAACAAGUUACACAAUAUUGGAAGGAUUCGAAUCAAUCACAAUGACAGCAUCAAGAACUUUUGUUGAAUUGGUGUAAUUUGACUUACUAAAGCUAUUAUCCAGAUUAUUAUCGAGUUUACUAUAAUGAUGAGUUAAAUAUUGUUGUAAAUCAAGGAAGAAGAUGUCUUACUAAAGAUUACGAGUAUGGACCUCGAUAGAGCUUCCAUAGUUGUCUUGAAUGUCCUGUUGAAUUUGCUUGGCGGAAUUCCCAACAGAUUGUUGACAGUAAUGUAUAUCAAUAAGAGCUAGUGUGGUUAUAUCUGCAAAAUCUCGAGGGAUUGAAUCCAAAUACUCGCAAUUUCUAAGAAAAAGUCGUUCAAGGUACGGAAAGUGAUCACUACUAGCUCUCCAGUACCGAAUGUAUAUUUGAUCCAGAAACAAGAACUUCAAGUGAGGAAACCCUUCCUCAACUACUUCCCACUCCUCGCCUAUGACGGCAUUGUGUGAUAGUUUAAGGACCUCGAGUUUGGGUAAUUUACCAACAAUGCUCAAAUCCUUCCAUGCCAAAAGGAAAUCUCCUCUAAAAGUUAAACUCUGGAAAAGAUUAAUUAACAAAAAUUUAUGGUACUAAUUGGGGUAUUAAUUAACAUAUCCUUACUUGAUCACAUAUGUAUUGUUCUGUGUGAAAUUUUCCUCUGACUGAUAGUUGACUAAAUUAUAUUGCAUACGUUCGUGUACAUUUUCUCACUUGGAAGAGUGGAUUUGGACGUAAUUAACUAUCACCAUCGUUUAGGUAGAAAAAAGAAAAUAACUAAUAGUUGAAUGUUUUAAUACAUAGAUGAUCAACUAAUAUGAGAAGAAAAGAGUAGCGUAAAUGUGAGAUUCACUUCUCACCAAGAAUCCUCCUUUCUUAUUAUUUUCCUUUUAGAGGUUAAUAAUUAUUAAGUAUCCCUAGAAUAAUUUAUUGAAAAAGUAGAUUUGAAAGAAAGCAAUUACUCUCUUCUUCCUAUGCGGGACUUCUUGAACAUAACUAAUUUGACAAAAACCACAAUUUUAUUUAUUUUUAGGUGGAAUUAUAUCAAUAAGGAACUAUAUAUGCUUAUGAUAUUAAUCUAAGACCAUUAUUUGUUACUUGAACACAUGGAUUCAUCAUCUGAACAAUUGAAACAAUUAAUACUUGUGUGAACCUUUUUUUAUUUCGAGUGAUGUGUCAUAAUCAUUAGCCAACUAAGACUAGCGUUAAAUUUUUGGUAAGUCUCAAGAAGUGUAAUUAAUACUUAAUAAAAUAAUCUCAUCCUUGAGAUUCAAGAACUUGUUUGGAUUGAAUAGGUUUUUAUCAUCAAGAUCUAGAACAAAGUCUUAAUAUUAGUAAGAGGUAUUUUUGUGUGAAAAGUUUUCUUUGAGGUUCGAGAAAUGGAAUAGAUAUGGACUACAAGUUGAUAUUUCCCAUUGGAAAAUUCACACAAAAAGGAACAAGGAAUUCUCAAUGAAAAAAGCGCUCUCCAAAUCUGUUUAGUAUUUGUCAUGAGGUUCUUAUCAUAAUUGGAUUUUCCUUUUAGGAAAAGGUAAACACAGUCUCCAUAUUUGUCUAGUUCUUUUUCUUGUAGGAAAAAAAUUAUGACUCUAUAAAUAGAUGUUUUGUAACAUCCGACAAUUUGAAAUAGCUAAGAAGAGGCUUGAAAUUUGGAAAUUUUCAAUUUUUGGAAAGGAUUUGAAAAUCUGGAAAAUUUGGCUAAGUAUGGGAAAGGUGAGUUUUUUUGGGCCCAAACUUUGAACAACCAUAAAUUCUAGCUCAGGAUGAGUUAGGUGGAGUUCCGGUUAUGUUUGCAUAGCCCUCGGAACGACCUUUCCAACGCCACUGAGUUUGCUCAAUUCUGAGUUCGUAUGAGCGAGUUAUGGCCAUUGAAAGUUGGGCAGUUGGCAGGGAAUCCGUCCGGAAAAUUAAGGGCAUUUUAGUCUUUUCCCUAGCCAAUUCUUUUGGGAUUAUAUUGUUGUAUAGGGCUGAUCUUUAGAUCAUUUUGUCCCAUUUUAAGAAAUUAAAAUCUAGGGCUUGAGAGUGAAGAAGAGAAGAAGGAGAAGAAGAAGAGAAAAAUCGAGGAGAUCAACAAGUUUCCGACAAGAUCAUCGUGAAUGUUCGUCGGGGGUGAUCCCUAUCAAGGUAUGUGAGCUUUUAGUGUUGGGUGAUACUUUCCCCCACACACCUAGCCCCUUUUAUUUAUUAAGGAAGGAUUGGUUAUGUUGUUAAAGUUGUUAGUUGUUGUGGUUGAAGUUGUUGGAGUUGUUAAAGUUGUUAGUUGUUGUUGUUGGAAUUAUUGUUGGUGGUGGGACAUAAUUGAGUUGUGUUUUUAUGUUGAAAUCUAUUGAAUGUUGAGGGAUUUUAUGUUUCUAAGUGAUUGGGGGCUGGAAUCUUUGAGGUUAGAGGGUUUAGAGUUGGUAACGUGAAGGAGAAAGUCGGGUAGCUUGCGAGGAGCAUGUCUGCGUCGCGGACUUGUUCCUCUGUGAACAAAAAAUCUUCUCCGCGUCGCGGACAGGACGCAGACUCCACUGUUUUCAGAAUUUAUGUUCGAAGAUUUUCUUAGGUUUGGCUGUCCCAAAUCAUUCGCAAAUCAUUCCUAAACAUCAUGAGACCCUUCCAAACACCAAUCAAGUCCUUGAAUCCAUAAUCCAAUUCAAGGUGAGUUAUGAUCAAGUCAAGUGAAGUUAGUUUUCAAGUCAAGUGAAGUUAGAAGUCAAGUGAAGUUAGAGCCAAGCUUAGAAGUUAAGCAAGUCAAAGCAAGUCUUUAAAGCUUUUCAAGAGUCUUCAUUGAACGUUUUGACUUCAUUCUAAGGCUCAAGUUCCAAGUUAAGUAUAGAGUUUCAAGUCAAGCAAAGAGUCUCAAGUUUCAAGUUAAGUAAAGAGUAUCGAGUUUCAAUUUAAGUCAUAAUUUUUCAGUCAAGAGUCAAGAGUUGAGUUCAAUUCUCAAAAGUAAUUAGGGAACUAAGUAUUUCCCAAAGAAGUUUUAUAAGUGUUUUCACAUUUAAGUUGAGAGGAAACGGAGAUUUCCAAAAGAGUUUUGAGAAGUUUGAGCACUAUCUCUUUUAAAAGAAAAGAUGAGUUUUUGAAAAAGAGUUUCUAAAUUAUGAUUAGUAUGACAAAUGGAGUAUGUCAUCAAUGUUUAAACAGUAUGGUCUCUAGAUAUACCAUCAAUGUUUAAGCAGUAUGAAUAUCCCGAGUCAUCAAUGAUCAUAAAAAAAAAAAAUGUGGUUUUGACUUGUUCUAUUUAGAAAGAGUUUUCAAGUGCCUUCGGGCUAAGUUUUGAGUAAUUAUCUCAACUAAAGAAAGAUGUGCUUAAAACACUUAUGAGCUAAAGUAUUUUGGGAGUAGUAUCGAGCACCGAAUUGGGGAAACGAGUUCAUAUUAAACUCAACUCUCCAUAAGAACCAUGUAGCCAAACAUGGGAUUUCUCGGAUCAUACUUUUUAGAUGAUCACGAAAGUUAAGCUAGUGGAUCCAUUAAGCAAAAGUUAAAGUAAGGUCCUAUAUCGAUGGCAAGGUAUAGGAUGGUCCUUGGGCAACGUGAGGUAAAACGUUGUAUCACCACUCAGAUUCAUAGUGGUGGUUUGUCGGUUAGAGAAGCUCCCACAGUAGAAAGAGCAUGGUUCCUCGAGGGUUCUGCUUAGUAUGGAUGGGGGUAUGGGACUUCAUUCAUGCAUUGCACAAGUAGACUUUGAGAGGAAGCAUGGUAUUUUUAUGAUAUUAUAAAUAUGAUUUUUACGUCAUGUUUUAAUAGUUUCAAAAGCUUUAUAUAUAUUGCAUGUGUCUCAUUGCUUUAUAUUAAGUUCAGUUAUUCUUGAGUUGUACAGAGCCAAGGUAAGUUCUCUUUUGUAUCCCUUUUCAAGCUUAAGUUGUUGUUUAGCGGUCCAGCUCGCAUACUCGUACAUUCCAUGUACUGAUGCCAGUUGGCCUGCAUCUUAUGACGAUGCAGACACNNNNNNNNNNNNNNNNNNNNNNNNNNNNNNNNNNNNNNNNNNNNNNNNNNNNNNNNNNNNNNNNNNNNNNNNNNNNNNNNNNNNNNNNNNNNNNNNNNNNNNNNNNCAGUCAGUUAGUUUUGAGUCUCUCAUCUAUGUAUAUAUGUAAAUAUUCUAUUUUGAGACUCGAGUGGCCUUUUUGGCCAGAUGUGUAUCAUUUAAGUUGUUUAUGUCUUUGCAUGGCAUUGAGUUAUUCUGUUGAGUAGGUUUCCGCUGAGUUAAGAAAGCCAGGCCAAGGGUUCGCUUGGGGCCAGCAAUGGUCUCUGAGUGCCGGUCCCGCCCAGGGUGUAGGCUCGGGGCGUGACAUGUUUAUUCAUUCUAGCUUGGUAGCAUUCAUAAUGCAAUCCUAGGGGGCUUUGAGAGUUUUGUGUAUUGUGUGAAGCUAGAGGAAGAAUGUAUGAGACACAAGUAUUACUUUAACACUUGUGUGAACCUCUUUGUAUUCAGAGUGAAUUGUGUGAGGUUAUUCUUCUCUAGAUUUUAUAGUGAUUUUUUCAUCUCCUCUUGUGGAUGUAGAUCGGUUGACCGAACCACGAUAAAUGUUUGUGUCUUUUGAUAUAUUUCUUGUUUGUCUUAUUACUCAUCGUCUUUCAAGGUUUGCUUUGCUAGCUUUUGCAUGACACCUAAUUAUUUCAGUCCCAACAAGUGACAUCAGAGUCAGGUUCAAUGGUUUAAUGAUUCAAUGGUCGAACCAUGUUAAAAAUAAGUGUUCAUCUUGACGGGUUUAGUUCUAGCCGUAACAUAUUUGACAGUAAUGAAGAUUUUUGUUGGAGAAAUAUUUUCAAAGAUGUUUUCUGUGUUGAUAUAUAUAUAUAUAUAUAUAUAUAUAGAUUUUGCAGAGGAGAUGCAAGGUAUUGAAGAUUAUGUGAAGAAGGUGGAUCAAAUUUAUUUUGUCAGAAAUUUAGGCCAAUGGAGAUAUUUGUUUAGUAUUUGUCAUGAAUUUCUUAUCAUAAUUGGGUUUUUUCUUUUAGAAAAAGGAAACCACAAAGUUUCCAUAUUUGGCUAGUUCUUUUUCUUGUAGGAAAAUGUUUGACUCUAAAAUUAUAUGUGUAUUCCUUCUAGCCUAAUAGCAUUUACAAUGUAGUCCUAAGGGGCAUAGAGAGUUUUGUGUAUUGCGUGUAGCUAGGGGGAGAAUGUGUGAGACACAAGUGUUACUUUAACACUUGUGUAAACCUCUUUGUUUUUCCAUUGAAUUGUGUAAGGUUAUUCCUCUCAAUAUUUUGUACUUUCUUUUAUAUAGUGAAUUGCUCAUAUCCUCUUUUGGAUGUAGGUCGGUUGUCCGAACUACGUUGAAUAUUUAUGUCUUUUGGUAUAUUUUUCGUUUGUAUUAUUACUCAUGGUCUUUCAAAAUUUGCUUUGCUAGCUUUUGCCUGAUACCUAAUAAUUUCAGUCCCAACAAAACCAAACGUGAAAGUUGUUUUCCAGCAGACAACUUUUCUAGUAGCUCUACUCUCGACUUGGAUAAUUUAACCAAAAAGGUACGCUUUCGGCCAUUCUACAUGCUGCCUAUGUAGAGACAUGUUUAUCUAAAGUGGAUUCUCUUUUUUGUAGUAGGUAUCAAACCUGUUAUGCCCAUUGACUAAGAAGCUAGGGGUGGACACAACAACUACAUGGACCUCUUUCUUACAUCGGCCAUCACUAUUAAUCGUCUUUGUUAUCACAAUGACCACCACUAUUACCGUCAUCAAACAUCUCUGUCCUCACAAUUACCAUUAUUAUCAACCACUACUAUAUAUCAAACAUUUGCUAUAUUUAUGUUUUUUAUUGACAUAAACAAUGGGUUAACAUGAUAUAAUUUAUUAGUAGUUUUAUAUAUUUUUCUUAUAAUAAAGGAAACAAUCACUUAUACAUUCUUUGAGAUCAUUUAGUUUAAAAUCAGGAGUGGAAUCAUAACUAGGGUUAUAGCUUAGCAUCAAUUCACCUUCUUAAUUAAUGGGAUAAUUUAAUUAGCUAAAUUUGAAUGAAAAGAAGAAGAAAUUGAUUAAUUUAAUUCGUUUACGUUCCAAUGGGGUGUGCAAUAUCCAUAAAUUUGUCAUGUCGUUAUUAGGUGUUCAUGAGAUGCACAUAUUCCAAGCAAAAGUACCUAUUUGAUCACUAGAUGAGUUUAAGUAUUCAAUUUACAAAUUCUGCCAAAUUUGAGGGACUAUCUAGGUAUUAUUUAGAUAAAAUUAUUUGUAUAGUCCACUCUAAACAUACUUAUAAUUAAGCAAGUAACAUAUACUAUAUAAAGAAGCUUCUAGAGAUAAUUAAAGUUAACUCUAUAUAAUUAGAGUUGCAAUAACAAAUACGUCAAAACAUUAAAGUGUUUCACCAAUAAAGUCAUUUUUUUAAUGUCCAAAACUAAUCCAAUGGAAGCUCUAUUAUGUGGAACACCAGAAGAAGUUUCAGUAUUGUUGGUACAUCAUGAAGUAGAAUUUCUUACUAAUCAGACUGUUAAAUUGUUAGAGGCUUAUAAAUACAAAGGUGACAUUCUAGAAUUUUUUUAACUUUUUUGUUUCUUUGAUAUAAUAACUAAAUGCCGUGUGACAUUUUUUUUUAUAUAUAGAGAGAGAUUGAAAUGAUAUGCUUUUUGUUAUCUCAUUUAUGAUUUUAGCAUCGUCCAUUUUUAAAUUUCAUUUAUCUUGUAAAUCUUGAACUUUUCUUUUUCCUUGUUAUCAUAGCACUUUUUAAUUUUUACAAAUUUAUCUAUCCUCGAAGAAAAAUAAUUCUACAUUAGUGAUGGAUGCACAAGAAAUUAGGAUGACGGGAGGGAAGAGAAAGAGCACGAAAAAGACAUGAUAAGAGAUGAUCUGUCUAUCAUUAUUACUUGAGAUAAUAUUUUUUUGUCUUUUAUUGGAUGUAUAAAAAAAAAUGAGGAGAUCUAAUUUUCAUUAAAAAAACAUUUCCCUUUCUAUUUUUUGUUUUUGUUUUUCGUUGGACGUAGACAAAAAAUUGGCAACUCCUUUCUUAUACUUUGUUAGAUCAUCUAAUUACAUAUCUAUGAAAUAAAAUUACCUCAAAACAUUUUAUCCUAUUAUCUUUUGCUUUAAUAUUUAUUUGUUUUUGACAAGCCAUAAAUAAAUUGGAAUAGUUUUUAGAAAUAUAUUCUUUAGGAUCUUCUCUAGUUUUUAGUAAUCCAAUUAACGAAAAAAAAAAACUAAUAUAUACUUUUUAUGUAACCAAUCUAGUUAAGAUUGCACUCAUCAUUUAUAAUAUAAGUUGAUUAAUAUGUGUUAUUUUAAAAAUUAAAGUGCAGAAAUAUAACAUGAAAAUUCACAGUUGAAUUUGAAUAACAAACAAACAUAUCCAAAUGAUACCUUUGUGUACAAUAUUUUUUUUUUCAUAAUUUUCACUGAUUUCAAAUUGCACGGGUAUAUGUAGUUACGGAAGUUAUGGCUCCUGCGGCAAUGUCAAUGCUUUUCAAAGAAAAGAAAAAAAUUGAUGCAAUGAUAAUCAAGGUCAUUUCACCGGAUUCACAUUGCUUUGAGCUCCUGGCACAAGCUGUAACCUUGAACAUCAUCGUAGUAAGUAAGUAUUUAUAAUUCUAUCUUCCACUUAUUAUUAUAGACGGUAAAGUAAGUUUUUUUAAUUAACUAUUGCAUAAUGUAUAUAAUAUUAUUCAAUUUUAAUUGCUAUCUUCUUGAUAUAAUUAUGCAGUUGUCUAUGAUGAACUCAAUGAAUUCUUAGUGAAGAAAGCUUUGGACAAUGGAGCUUACAUUUGCUCGAAGAAGCCUCUUGUCGAGCAAACUAUGACAUUCUUGUGGCAAUUUGUAUGGAGGGAGAAAACACAAAGAGGGAAAUCAAUAAAAAGAGUAGAAACAAAGGGAGAUCAUAUUUUUGUUUGAAGUUAUUGGAGUUCUGAGAAAACAAUAGGUCGUGGUUUUUUCCUCCCUUGAGCAAAGAGGUUUCCACGUUAACAUAUGUGUUCUUACUUUAAGCAUUUAGAUUACUUCUUGUUAUCAGUAUAGUCAAGUGGUCAGAACACGAGAAGACAUGUCACUAAACAACAACAUAUAUAGGAAAAAACAAACUCUGCUAAGUGAUCGAUCCGUGUGUGAUAGUUGCCUUCUUAACCUUGAACUAUUGCUUCCUGCUAGAUUAUAUGAACUUAGAUAUGUAUACAAAUUAGUAUUCAAUGAGUUCCCAAACAUUCGUGCAUAAACAAUUUCCCCUGUUGUCGUGCCACCAGGACUUAGCAUAUGUUCUGUAUUUGUAUAAUUUCGAUGAUGAUCAUGAGAUUGCUGGGAUAAUGGAGGCAUAUUAUUAUUGUGUAUUAGACCGUGACUCCUACAUCUCGAACUAGGAGGUCUUUGUGGUAUGACUAUACCAAAAUUCUAUACCAAAAUUCGGGGCCUUAAUUUCAGAUGUUUUUGUAGCUUGACAGCGACCAUAGAGUGGAAUCAAUGUUUUUUGUGAGACUUCAGCUUUGCAAACAGGGCAAUUUGGUUGUUGGUUAUCGAUGUUCUCUGAUGAAAUGGUCUUAAAAUGUAUCCAUUUGUAGAUGCAAGGCCAACAAUAGGAGGUGACCACAUAAUGUAACAACAGGAUCAUGUACAACAUCUAGGCAAAUGUUGCACUCGAAACCUCCAGGUGAAUUUUCUUCAAGUUUAUCAAGAUCAAUUGUCUCCAUUUUUCAAAGGAAAUAUCGCGUUGAUCAAAGGUAGUUUCUGCUAUUUGGUCUUGAAAAAUUUGUUCUAAGGCCAUAUUUGCCUCUUGGUAUUGAAUUAUUUUGGUAAUGGCAAGAUGAAGAAUGGUUAGAAUUCAGGUUUUUAAUACAAUUAGAAGUGAGUAUUUAUAAGGACAAAGAAUAGUAGUUUGCAAACAAUGAUUCUUAAGGUUGUCACUUGUCAACAUCACAUUAUGUUAAAGGGGCAUGGCCAAAAAGAAAAGGCCCUACACAUUAUUAAACAACACUAUAUCAUAUUACUCAACAGUCUUGAUUUAUGGGGUAUUGUUUGAUUUGAUAUAACAUUUAAUAAGAAAAUGAAGACUUUUAAAAUAUGUACUGUAUUAAAGAUAAAAAAUAAAUUUUAAGUUUUUCGAUCCUAGAAAUGAUAUUCUUUUUAUAUUAAGACUAAAACAAAUGUUUUACAUAAAUUAAGAUAGAUGAACUAUCAAACACAUCAUAAUUAAGUGAUUUAAUGAAGUCAAAAAUAAAUAUUAAUGGAUCAUGGUUAAGUGAGAGGAGUUUUGUGCAAACACGUCUUUUAUCUAUCUAUUUGAUUUAAACAAGCAUAAGUUUUAUCAUAUUAGAAAUAUGAUUAGGACCUUAUAUUAGGCCCCAUGAUAGGAAUCUUAAUCUAGAAAAUAACUUUUAGUCAAUAAAAAGUAGCACUAGUUGCGUACAAGGAGCUACCACUUGAUGACCUUCCACACUUCCACAUCCCAUAAGUUCAAUAGUUUUCACACUAUAAGAACUAGAUGUUUUUUUCCGCGUGAAUCAAUAAAAUUUUUAGUUUUAUGUUAUAAAACAUGAUUUUUUUCAUUUUGAUUUUAUUAAACUAAUUCACUAAGAAAAUUCAUAACGAAACAUAAGUUCUCAUUGAAAUACUGGAAAUAGUCACUUGGAAAUUUAUGAGUUUUAGGAAAUUAUGCAUCAAAACUUAGAAAGACGCGGCUCAUAUAGAAAUUUGUUGUUAAAUCAUAAUAUAUACUUUUACAUCUGAAUAUCUUUAUUGAUUUGGUUAAAAUUAUAAUUAAAAAAAUUACAAUACAAUAUAUAUAGAUUCACAUAAAUUUAAUACUGUAAGUUCAAUUAUUAUUCAAUUAUUAUUAUGAUAUAUUAAUCUAAAAUUAUUAUAGAAGCUUCUAAACUCUAAAUUCAGAUCCAACUAAGGAGUGAAUAUACAUAGUGGGGGUCUGGGGGAUGGGAGAAAACAUAUGGACGGUGUGACAAAUAAAUAAAAGAAAUACUCCGUCCAUUCCAUUUGACUUAGUAUUGUUUGACUUAAUACGAUGUAUAAGAGAAAAAAAAGAUUUUAGAAAAUUAUAGGCUAAAACAAUUUUUAUAUAUUUAUAUAAUUGUAAAUCAUUUCAUUAAUUAAGGGUAGAUGGAGAAUUUUAAGUUUAAUUAUUUUCAAUUACAAUAAAAUGACAUUUUUAAAGACGGAUUAUGAGAAUAGAGUGCCACGUAAAAUAAAACGAGAAAAUACUACUCCCUCCUUCCCAUUUUAUAUGUUACCUUUUUACUUUACAUUUACAUUAAGAAAUAAUGUAACUUUACCCUUCUACCCUUAUUUAAUGUUUUCUUAAGUUAACUUUAUAACUCCCUCCGUCCCAUUUUAUAUGUCAUCUCUUUCUAUAAAUAGUUGGACCACAAUACUUGUCAUUUUAUAAAAUUUAUGUAUAAAUUACCAUAUUUUACCUAUUAUAUCCUUGAUAGAGUAGUUAAUUAAUCUUGAAAAUAUAUUCAUCAUUUAUUAUAAAUUGACUUAAGAAAAUAUUAAAUAAGAAUAGAAAGAUAAAAUUACAUCAUUUCUUAAUAAAAGUAUAAAGUAAAAAUGUGACGUAUAAAAUAGAACGGAGGGAGUACUACAAAAGAACGAGUCCGCACAUGCAUUAUACAAGUACUACAUGUGUCUCGAAUUUAGCAGCCUUUUGUCAACUUUUUAUAUUUUGGCUUACUUGGAAGCAAGUCUAUCCUCUCCUAUACAAUCAAUUAGGGUGGCCAUUAAUCAUAUAUUAUUAGGCUAAAGAUAACAUAUUGCUCCCUCCGUUUUUAAUUAUUUAUCCAUUUUUUUAGUUAUUCCUAAUUACUUGUCUAUUUUUACAAAUCAAGAAAGAACAAUUUUUUUUACCUAUUAUACCGUCAAUUUAUUACUUUGAAAAAAGUAGAACUUUUUGAAAAUCUUGAGUUUUUAAUUCAUCCACUUCAUAAUUAAUAUGGAUAAAAUGGUAAACUCACUAUUUCAAUAAUUGUUUUCUUAAUAGGUGUGCCAAUUCAAAAAUGGACAAGUAAUUAGGGAUAGAGAAAGUAUAUCGAAAUAAUAUAAUAAGAUAUUAUGCUAAAGAUAAUUAACAAAACUUUGAACAAUUAUAAAUAAGAUAGCAAAAAAAUCCAUAGUAAAUUAACAUGGUUCAACGAUUAGUGAUGGAAUCUGAAUAUGAUUCAGGAUUUUCACUAUUAAUGAAAUUCAAAAGGAAUAAUACAUAAAUGUGCCCUUUAACUUGACUUCAUUUUAUGUUUAUGUCCUUCAACUUUGGGUAUACACAAAUAUGCACCUAAACUUGUAUAAAGUUGAACAACUAGACACAUGAGUCCUACAUGACACAAUACACAUAAGAUACCACGUAGGAUAAAAAAUGCCAUGUAGGACAUGUGUGUCUAUUUUUUCAACUUUAUACAAAUUUAAAUAUCUACUUGUGCACACCCAAAGUUGAAGGGCAUAAAUGUGAUUUGAAGCCAAGUUAAAGGGUAUAUUUAUGUAUUAUGCCUAUUCAAAAUAUGAAUAAAUAAACAUAUAAAUUAGCUGACUACAAUAAUAGACAGAUAAAAAAUAAUUUUAACUAUAUGUAUAAAUAAUAUAAUUUUUCAUCGAAAGAGGUUCAUCUGAUUCCUCACUACUUUCUCUCAUUCAAAACUAAGCAAUAUGAGACUUUCAUGUCACAUGGAACCCUUUUUUUUUUUUUUGGAAAUCUCAGUAGUUCAGUUAAUUGACUGACUAUCUGAAUUCUCGAUUUCCCAUGUUGUAAUCCUCUACCCCAAUUUUUUUAUUACCUUCCUCACAUAUGUAUAAGACCGAAUCCAAAUAUCUAAGAUGAGAGAAUUUUGGGAGAGCCACCGACUCCAACUACUGCCAUAUAUUAUCCAUAUUAGAUUUGACCAACUAUCCAUCCUACCCUCCUCUACGUUCUUGACAACCCAUUUUUGUCUUAGUCAAGUCUUUUAGUGGCACGUUUUGAUCCUCUUUUCAAUUACUUAGAAAAAGUGAGUUAUUAUUCAGAUACAAAAUACUAUCAUUAUCGCCUAAAAAAUUAGACAUUCAACCCGUAAUCACAAUGAUCCAAUUACAAAAGCUCCGAACCCCCUAGGUCUAGACUGGCUCUGGCCCUAGUUUUAUCUCUUGACCUUCACAUGAGUAAACUCGUUGAUAUAGAGGAUUACAGUAUUGAUUUCUUUAAAAGAAAAAAACCUUAAUUUAAGGUAUGGAGGCCUAGAAAGGAAACACACGUUAUAUAUGGAGCCUGUUCUGGCCUAUACAGUAUAUAUGUACAUAAAAUUUGGAGUAUCUAAAGAACCACUGACAAAUGGCUACGAAAGAUCAUAUACAAUUAAAUUACAAGCCAUUUGCAAUCAUCCUGCCACCUUAAGCAGAAAAAAUGAAAACGAAUAAAACAAACACUCACACAUUUGGCUUCUGAUUUGACAUUUAUUUCAGAGAACUGGCUAGUCCUCAGAACACCUUAACUACUCGCUGCAGAAAAA